rnacentral:misc_RNA from 1 species
GAUGAAGAACGUAGCGAAAUGCGAUAAGUAGUGUGAAUUGCAGAAUUCAGUGAAUCAUCGAAUCUUUGAACGCACAUUGCGCCCUUUGGUAUUCCUUAGAGCAUGCCUGUUCGAGCGUCAUUUAAACCUUCAAGCUAAGCUUGGUGUUGGGUGACUGUCCGCUUCACGGCGGACUCGCCUCAAAAUUAUUGGCGGCCGGUACAUUGGCUUCGAGCGCAGCAGAAACGCGAACUCGGGCCCGUCGUAUUGGCUCCCAGAAGCUAUCUUCACAAUUUUGACCUCGGAUCAGGUAGGGAUACCCGCUGAACUUAAGCAUAUCAAUAAGCGGAGGA